GAAAUGCGAUAAGUAAUGUGAAUUGCAGAAUUCAGUGAAUCAUCGAAUCUUUGAACGCACCUUGCGCUCCUUGGUAUUCCUUGGAGCAUGCCUGUUUGAGUAUCAUGAAAUCUUCAAGUAAAUCUUUUGUUAACUCAAUUGGUUUCUACUUUGGUAUUGGAGGUCUUUGCAGCUUCACACCUGCUCCUCUUUGUUCAUUGGCUGGAUCUCAGUGUUAUGCUUGGUUCCACUCGGCGUGAUAAGUUAUCUAUCGCUGAGGACACUGUAAAAGGUGGCCAAGGUAAAUGCAGAUGAACCGCUUCUAAUAGUCCAUUGACUUGGACAAUACUUUUAUGAUCUGAUCUCAAAUCAGGUAGGACUACCCGCUGAACUUAAGC
rnacentral:misc_RNA from 1 species